rnacentral:rRNA from 1 species
UACGGGGGGGGCAAGCGUUGUUCGGAAUUACUGGGCGUAAAGGGCUCGUAGGCGGCCAACUAAGUCGGAUGUGAAAUCCCCAGGCUCAACCUGGGAACUGCAUUUGAAACUGGCGGGCUUGAGUGUGGCAGAGGGGGGUGGAAUUCCGCGUGUAGCAGUGAAAUGCGUAGAGAUGCGGAGGAACACCGAUGGCGAAGGCAGCCCCCUGGGCCAACACUGACGCUCAGGCACGAAAGCGUGGGGAGCAAACAGG